UAACUAUCUAUGGUUUUAACUUGAGGUUUCGUUCGACUCUGUUUUUGUUUGAAAACUUAAAUAGUAUCAAGUAAGGAAAUAAUGAAUAAAAAAUCCAAUAAGAUAUUAAAGUUGAUGAAGUGAAAAAUGAUUUCCCUGUUGGUACAAAAGUAACAAGAGAUAGUUUGAAAGUUUUUGCAGUGCCAAGCGAAACUAAGAAGGCAUAUAAUUUUUUUGAGAAAGUUAUUCCAACAAUUGAAUCUCAUCUAGCUGUACAUUCUAAGAAAAUAAAAGAGGUUGAAGAAUGGCUACUGCGAAAUGUAAAGGAUAAAUGUGGAAAGGGAACCACCUCAAUAUUACUGAUAACAGGGCCUGCUGGUUCUGGAAAAAGUGCAACAAUAAAUGUUCUUUGUAAUAAAUUAGAUAUCAGAAUUUCAGAAUGGGUUAAUCCUGUUGAUCAAGAUUAUGAAUUAUCUAAAGGGCCAGGACAGUCAGCACAAUUUUUAGAAUUUCUUGUACAAUCAAAAUAUUUAUCACUACUUGAAGACAGUGGUAAAAAGUUGACAUUGGUUGAAGACUUUCCAAAUUCUGUGAUACGUAAACCUGAUGAGUUUUUUACUAUAUUAGAAAAAGUUUAUUAUAAAGCAAGAUCUGCAAUUGUAUUUAUCUGUGCUGAUGAAGAUAUGAGUAAUAAUAUAUCUCAUCAAUUAUUUCCUCAAAAUAUUAGGGAUUUGUAUAAAAUAGAAAACAUAACGUUUAAUGCUUGUUCUGUUACUUUAAUGAAAAAUUCCUUAAAAAGAGCAUGCAGCUUAAUACUAGAAAGAUCAGAUUUGUUUACUCCCCCACAUAAUGAUAUUAUUGAGGCUAUUGUCAUAACAAGUUGUGGAGAUAUAAGAUCUGCUAUGAAUCAGCUUUAUUUUGCCUCUUUAAAGGCUUCUGGUAAACUUGAAAUGCAAGAGUGUACAAGAUCUAGUAAUAAACGGAAACGUUCGGCCAAACCAAAUGCGAAGUUGAAAAACAUGUGCAAAGAUGAAUCAUUGACAUUGUUUCAUGGUGUUGGCCGUAUAUUAAAUCCAAAACGAAUCGAUAGAGGUGAUGGAUCGUGGCGUUUAGAUGUUGACUUAGAGUCCCUAAUCACGACAUUCGCACCGAAUCCCAGGAAAUGCAUUUUAUUUUUACAGGAGAAUUACUUAAAGUAUUAUGGACAUAUAGGGGACAUUUCUGCAACUGCCGAUAUUUUAAGUUUUUCGCAAACAUUUUUCGAUAAAUGGUCAGAAGAGUACAAUAAAAUGAGAGCCUAUGGUUUGUGGGCGGCAGUUUUGGGAUCAAUGGUAUAUAAUGAACAUAAGGUAUCAAAGUGGAAUCAAAUAACCGGUCCUACCAGACUAGAAAAUAAGUAAGAAUUUUUACUAUAAAGCAAAUGCUUAAUCAUUAUAUCUUAAUAUAUGUAAGUUAAUUAAGUUUUGUGGCUUUUAU
rnacentral:misc_RNA from 1 species